rnacentral:tRNA from 3 species
AAUAAAGCUUAAGAGUUAGGCAUUUCAUUUACACUGAAAAAGAGUUCUGUGCAAUUCAGAUUAUUUUGAAGG